rnacentral:rRNA from 1 species
AACGCGAAGAACCUUACCUGGGUUAAAUCACGGAUGCAAGGCGCAGAGAUGCGUCCCCCUCGCAAGAGGCGUUCGUGAAGGUGCUGCAUGGCUGUCGUCAGCUCGUGUCGUGAGAUGUUGGGUUAAGUCCCGCAACGAGCGCAACCCUUACCACUAGUUGCCAACAGAAGAUGGGAACUCUAGCGGAACUGCCGGUGAUAAACCGGAGGAAGGUGGGGAUGACGUCAAGUCAUCAUGGCCUCUAUGUCCAGGGCUACACACGUGCUACAAUGGCCGGUACAAACCGUCGCAAACUCGCGAGAGGGAGCCAAUCGGAAAAAACCGGUCUCAGUUCGGAUUGGAGUCUGCAACUCGACUCCAUGAAGUUGGAAUCGCUAGUAAUCGCAGAUCAGCACGCUGCGGUGAAUACGUUCCCGGGCCUUGUA